rnacentral:misc_RNA from 1 species
GAGAAGAACGCAGCGAAAUGCGAUACGUAAUGUGAAUUGCAGAAUUCAGUGAAUCAUCGAAUCUUUGAACGCAUAUUGCGCUCUUUGGUAUUCCGAAGAGCAUGCUUGUUUGAGUAUCAGUAAACACCUCAAAGCUUUUGGAUUUUUUAAUCGAAAAGCUUUGGACUUGAGCAAUCCCAACACCAAUCUUUUUGAGAUCGGUGGCGGGUUGCUUGAAAUGCAGGUGCAGCUGGACAUUCUCCUGAGCUAAAAGCAUAUUCAUUUAGUCCCGUCAAACGGAUUAUUACUUUUGCUGCAGCUAACAUAAAGGGAGUUUGACCGUAUUGGCUGACUGAUGCAGGAUUUCACAAGGGUCGGCAACGAUUCUUGUUAAACUCGAUCUCAAAUCAAGUAAGACUACCCGCUGAACUUAAGCAUAUCAAUAAGCGGAGA